UAUCUCUGUAGAGUCUGCAUAUCAAUAAGCGGAGGAAAAGAAACUAACUAGGAUUCCCUCAGUAACGGCGAGUGAAGCGGGAAGAGCUCAAACUUGAAAUCUUCAAGGUUCUACCUUGACGAAUUGUAGUUUAAAGAAGUGUUUUCUGUUGGAGUUUCGGUAAAAGUUCUUUGGAAUAGGACAUCAUAGAGGGUGAGAAUCCCGUAUUUGACCAGUUACUUUCCAGCUGUGUGAUACACUUUCAAAGAGUCGGAUUGUUUGGGAAUACAGUCCAAGAUGGGUGGUAAAUUUCAUCUAAAGCUAAAUAUUGGCGAGAGACCGAUAGCGAACAAGUACCGUGAGGGAAAGAUGAAAAGAACUUUGAAAAGAGAGUUAAACAGUACGUGAAAUUGUCGAAAGGGAAGCGUUUGACACCAGUGUUGUUUUUCUCGAAAAUCAAUUAAGAAUGGCAUGAUUUUGUGUUGUAUUGACCUUAUCAGCUUUCUGCACUCUUUUCUUGAGUCUUUUUUAAUGCACUUUUCGGUUAACAAGUCAACAUCAAUUUCUUUUGUUGUAAAAGGGUCAUUGGAAGGUGGCUUUCUUUUCGGAGAAAGUGUUUAUAGCCUUAUGCCUCUACAAUCGGAGAGAUUGAGGUCUGCAGCGUAGAUCCUUCGGGGUUAGAUACACUUGUGCUAAGUUGUAGCCUUUUCAUAGACAACUUGUUGACUAUGAUCAGUCAUGUAGGCUUACUCGCUUAGUGCUAUUUUACCUACGCUUAGGAUGUUGAAGAUGUAGCACAUCAU
rnacentral:rRNA from 1 species